CUGAAGCUCUUGGCAAGCGACGUUUAUCACCAUCCCAACCACCUGCUCCCAGCAAGAACCCACGUCCCACGGCAAAGAAAAGAAGCGCUAUGAAAAGAAGCAAAAUGAUUAAAUAUUGGCGUAGCUUUUGACCACUGGAGACAGCUCUUGCUCCAACAUCCCACAAACCCCUGCUCCUCUAAUAGGAAAUGCUACACACAGACCCAAAGCAUGCAGGCAGCUGAGGAAGACCAUGCGUGAAUGCUGAAACAGGAUCCUUUGUUUUCAACGAAAAACAGCUCAUGGGGAAUUUGCAUGGUAGGAAUUUUUUCACUUUACAAACACACAGGAACAAAAUCAUAGACAACUGCUUCAGUUAUUUCUUUAUCAGUAGACCUACCCGGGGUCAUAUUUGUCUGUGCUUUAGCUGCAGAAGAGCUGACAUAAAAAGGAUAACAGGGACCACAGAAGGAAAAUUUCUGGUAAGAUCUUGGACAGAGAGGACCCAAAUGCAGCACUCUGAGGGAAGGAGGUUUGAGGGAAAAAGGGUGAGAGGGACUGGAGUGGAGGGAGAGGAGGACAUCAAGGAGCCUGGGGGCCAGGGAGCUGGGGAACACUGGCGCCGAGGUAGCGAGGAGCGGUGGGAGGACAGGGAGGACGCCGUGGGGGAGGUCCGAGGAGGAGAGGGCCGGUGGAUGAGCCCAGCCAACUGAACAGAGGACG